UGGGGAAUCUUGCGCAAUGGGCGAAAGCCUGACGCAGCGACGCCGCGUGCGGGAAGAAGGCCUUCGGGUUGUAAACCGCUUUCAGGAGGGACGAAGCCACUCGGGUUAAUAGCCCAGAGGGUGACGGUACCUCCAGAAGAAGCCCCGGCUAACUACGUGCCAGCAGCCGCGGUAAUACGUAGGGGGCGAGCGUUGUCCGGAUUUAUUGGGCGUAAAGCGCGUGUAGGCGGCUAGGUAGGUCCGCUGUGAAAACUUGAGGCUCAACCUCAAGAGGUCGGUGGAAACCAUCUAGCUAGAGUCCGGAAGAGGAGAGUGGAAUUCCUGGUGUAGCGGUGAAAUGCGCAGAUAUCAGGAAGAACACCCGUGGCGAAGGCGGCUCUCUGGGACGGUACUGACGCUGAGACGCGAAAGCGUGGGGAGCGAACAGGAUUAGAUACCCCCGUAGUCC
rnacentral:rRNA from 1 species